GACGUAGGGCGCGAGCGUUGUCCGGAUUUAUUGGGCGUAAAGAGCUCGUAGGCGGUUUGGCAAGUCGGGUGUGAAAUUUCGAGGCUCAACCUCGAAACGCCACUCGAUACUGUCAUGACUGGAGUCCGGUAGAGGAGUGCGGAAUUCCUGGUGUAGCGGUGAAAUGCGCAGAUAUCAGGAGGAACACCAACGGCGAAGGCAGCACUCUGGGCCGGUACUGACGCUGAGGAGCGAAAGCGUGGGGAGCAAACAGG
rnacentral:rRNA from 1 species